GAGGCGGGAGUGAUCUGCGAGCGAAACCUACACCAUGUGAGGCCGGGCUGGGCUUUGGCGGGGCCGUGGAGAUGGAGGUGGACAGUUUAGCUGAAUAACGGUCGAAAUGGGGUGUUUUUAUAGCUGAGGGUAGAGUUCCUCGGGCAAAAGUAAUGUUUUUCCUUCUGGGGUAUUUGAGAUCGGGCUUGGGGCCUCGCUCGGAUCUUGAGUUCCGGAGAGGGGACAGCUUUAUUCCAUAACGGGCAUGAGACUCUCCGAGGUCCUGAGUCUUGUGGAAAGGAACCAUAAAGGGAAAGCUGAGUCUGAUGGCACAUGCCUGGAAUCCCAGGCCUCGAGAGGCUGAUGCAGGAGGUUCGCUAGUUGGCCUUGGCCAGCUUCAUAGCGAGACCGCUUCCAAAAGUAAUAGUAAUUUUAAAUGGAAGUGGUCUUAUGAAUAAAGAGCUUGGCGGGGAAGGAAGAACUGUUAGAAAUAGUGAAAAGUAUGGGACGUAACCAGGAUAAAUUAGAGAACCUAACUAGAGACUGUCAGAGUAGCAGGGUACUACAGUGGUUUGGUGCGUGUUUAUUCAUUGAGCAUAUACUAUGUAGACUGCUUGUAAGUUAAGACACAUGGUAAAUAAAAGGUCCUUGCCUCCAAGGGGGUGGGGGAAUCUCCCUGGUGCUUGUAAAAAGAGUGGAGUAGGAAAGCCAUAGAGUAAUAAAUAGGUACAUACACCUUAGAUAAUCAGGUUUGGAUGGAGAAUUGAGCAGGAAAGAUAUAAUGCCAGUAGGUAGCACAGUAGGAUGCAUUGAAAGCCCAGUUCUUGGGAUGCAGAUUUAGCUCAGUGGACAGAGUACUUACCUACUGUGGGUACUGGGUUUGGUCCUUAACCACACACAAACUAGACAUAGUGGCACGUGCCUGUACUCCCAAUACUCAGGAGGCAGAGACAAGUCUGAGUUCUGGGGCAGCCAGGCUUCUACAGUGAGAUGUUGUGGGGUGGGGCGGAGGUUCAUGGAGAGAGAUGAUUGAAGUUUAGGUUGCGGAUAGAAAGGGCCAAGGUUUGGAUGUACCAUGGUGGCAGAUGACAAGAUAUAAGGAUAGAGUAAGGUUUGAAAGAAGAAUCAACUGCCAGGCAUGAUGGUGAGCCUCUGUCAUCUCAGACCUUAGGCAGUGGAGUCAGGAGAAUUGAGAAUUCAAGGUCAGCGGUGGGUGGAAGAGGUUAGGUAGAUGAGCCGGGGCAGGCUACCAUGG
rnacentral:lncRNA from 1 species